CAGUCGCCGCGGUAAUACGUAGGGCGCAAGCGUUGUCCGGAAUUAUUGGGCGUAAAGAGCUCGUAGGCGGUUUGUCGCGUCUGGUGUGAAAACCUCAGGCUCAACCUGGGGCGUGCAUCGGGUACGGGCAGACUAGAGUGCGGUAGGGGAGACUGGAAUUCCUGGUGUAGCGGUGGAAUGCGCAGAUAUCAGGAGGAACACCGAUGGCGAAGGCAGGUCUCUGGGCCGCAACUGACGCUGAGGAGCGAAAGCAUGGGGAGCGAACAGGAUUAGAUACCCCGGUAGUCCCUGUCUCUUAUAC
rnacentral:rRNA from 1 species